rnacentral:rRNA from 1 species
UGCGCAGGCGGUUGUGUAAGUCAGAUGUGAAAUCCCCGGGCUCAACCUGGGAACUGCAUUUGAGACUGCACGGCUAGAGUGUGGCAGAGGGGGUAGAAUUCCACGUGUAGCAGUGAAAUGCGUAGAGAUGUGGAGGAAUACCGAUGGCGAAGGCAGCCCCCUGGGCCAAUACUGACGCUCAUGCACGAAAGCUGGGAGCAAACA